UACAGAGGUCUCAAGCGUUGUUCGGAUUCAUUGGGCGUAAAGGGCGCGUAGGCGGCGCGGUAAGUCGGGUGUGAAAUCUUGGAGCUUAACUCCGAAACUGCAUUCGAUACUGCCGUGCUUGAGGACUGGAGAGGAGACUGGAAUUCAUGGUGUAGCAGUGAAAUGCGUAGAGAUCAUGAGGAAGACCAGUGGCGAAGGCGGGUCUCUGGACAGUUCCUGACACUGAGACACGAAGGCCAGGGGAGCAAACGGG
rnacentral:rRNA from 1 species